rnacentral:rRNA from 1 species
UGGGGAAUAUUGCGCAAUGGACGAAAGUCUGACGCAGCAACGCCGCGUGAGGGAUGACGGCCUUCGGGUUGUAAACCUCUUUCAGCAGGGACGAAGCGAGAGUGACGGUACCUGCAGAAGAAGGACCGGCCAACUACGUGCCAGCAGCCGCGGUAAUACGUAGGGCGCAAGCGUUGUCCGGAAUUAUUGGGCGUAAAGAGCUCGUAGGCGGCUUGUCGCGUCGGAUGUGAAAGCCCGGGGCUUAACCCCGGGUCUGCAUUCGAUACGGGCAGGCUAGAGUUCGGUAGGGGAGAUCGGAAUUCCUGGUGUAGCGGUGAAAUGCGCAGAUAUCAGGAGGAACACCGGUGGCGAAGGCGGAUCUCUGGGCCGAUACUGACGCUGAGGAGCGAAAGCGUGGGGAGCGAAC